rnacentral:rRNA from 1 species
UACGUAGGGGGCAAGCGUUGUCCGGAUUUACUGGGCGUAAAGAGCGUGUAGGCGGCCAAGCAGGUCCGUUGUGAAAACUGGAGGCUUAACCUCCAGACGUCGACGGAAACCGUAUGGCUAGAGUCCGGAAGAGGAGAGUGGAAUUCCUGGUGUAGCGGUGAAAUGCGCAGAUAUCGGGAGGAACACCAGUGGCGAAGGCGGCUUCCUGGCCUGUUCUUGACGCUGAGGCGCGAAAGCUAGGGGAGCAAACGGG